CAUACCAACACAACAUCGUUUGCAGUUUAAUUAACAGUGCUAGAAGCGAAAGGGGCUCUAAUUUUAAAACAAAAGCAGCCCCAAAUAAGCAAGAGGAGAUUUGCUCACACAGAGGGCCACAGCAGGUCACUGGAAGACAAGAAAUCCAGGCAAGCUGGAAUAAAAACCCUGUGAGCUGGCUGCAGCUGCUUAAAGCCCUGCGUUCCUCAAGCCGUACCAGGCGGAGUUCAGCUGUGCCUGCCCCCUCACAAGGGCUGCCGGCUGCCCAGCACUGCCGCGGGACAUGGGCCAAGACACUGGGAAACGGCCCAAGCCAGGCUCUCACACACUGGCUCUGUGUGACCUUGAGCUCCUCAAAUGGCCCAUCUACUGACAGUUCUGGGUGUACUCUGAUGCUUUCGCAAAAAUGUUCCUAUAAAAGGGUUCCAUCUUCAAGGAAUUCAUGGAAAAGACUCUGACGAGGACAGGUUUCUGGUAACUGACCAUACUGCUGAACUGAAUGAAUAAGCAUUUUCAGAACUCUAAUGGAAAACUGAUGAAUUUAUAAAAAUGCUAACAAAAGAUCAAGAUGAAAAAAAAUUAAUUACAUGGACUGAGUGAACUGAUGAGGAUGAUUAUAAUUUUUGUGACUUUCUGUUUGAAUAAAAAAAAAUUCCCACAAGGACUCAGAGGCAAAAAAUAUACAAAUCAAUUUUCACUGCAAAGUAAAGGAGCUGUUACAGUGGAGGAUUACUGGACUGAAUGUCAAUAUUAUGACAUAGUAUGAGUGUGUUUCAUGUUUGGUAAUUGCAAUCAUUGUUGCUUUUAUUGUGGUCAUCCACUUACAAUGCUUGGUGUCAGUUUAUUUAUCUCUUGUAAAAAUAAAAUGCAGUGUGCGUGUGUGAAAAAAAAAA